CCUACGGGAGGCAGCAGUGAGGAAUAUUGGUCAAUGGACGAGAGUCUGAACCAGCCAAGUAGCGUGAAGGAUGACUGCCCUAUGGGUUGUAAACUUCUUUUAUAUGGGAAUAAAAUGUUCCACGUGUGGGAUUUUGUAUGUACCAUCUGAAUAAGGAUCGGCUAACUCCGUGCCAGCAGCCGCGGUAAUACGGAGGAUCCGAGCGUUAUCCGGAUUUAUUGGGUUUAAAGGGAGCGUAGGUGGAUUGUUAAGUCAGUUGUGAAAGUUUGCGGCGCAACCGUAAAAUUGCAGUUGAAACUGGCAGUCUUGAGUACAGUAGAGGUGGGCGGAAUUCGUGGUGUAGCGGUGAAAUGCUUAGAUAUCACGAAGAACUCCGAUUGCGAAGGCAGUUCACUGGACUGCAACUGACACUGAGGCUCGAAAGUGUGGGUAUCAAACAGGAUUAGAUACCCGGGUAGUC
rnacentral:rRNA from 1 species